rnacentral:rRNA from 1 species
UACAGAGGGUGCGAGCGUUAAUCGGAAUUACUGGGCGUAAAGCGUGCGUAGACGGCUAUCUAAGUCGGGUGUGAAAGCCCCGGGCUCAACCUGGGAAUUGCAUUCGAGACUGAAUAGCUAGGGUACGGUAGAGGGAAGUGGAAUUUCCGGUGUAGCGGUGAAAUGCGUAGAUAUCUGGAGGAACACCGGUGGCGAAGGCGGCAUCCUGGACCAAUAUUGACGCUGAGGAGCGAAAGCCAGGGGAGCAAACGGG